ACUAAACAGUUGUUUUUUAUUAAAAAAUAGCAGACAAAGAAAUUAUACCAUCCAGCCCUCCUAUUUAAUUAUUAAAUAAAAGUGUGAAAGAGAUAUCAAGGGCUAUUCUGUUAAAAUGUCAUCCGACCAGUCUAGGCCCUGUUGUGAACCAGAAGGUGUGCUAAGUUGGAUGUUGGAUAUAGAAUGGAAGGAAUAUCAUGGCCGAGAACAAGGCAUAAUUGUAUGUCCCUUGAUGUAGGGGGGCCUGUAAAGGUAAAUAAUUCCUGGAGCCAUCUCGAGGUAUAGUACUCAAGUCGGAGCGAAUCAAUUGAUAGCACGAUGAAAA